rnacentral:rRNA from 1 species
UACGAAGGGGGCUAGCGUUACUCGGAUUGACUGGGCGUAAAGGGCGCGUAGGCGGUUUGUACAGUCAGACGUGAAAUUCCUGGGCUCAACCUGGGGGCUGCGUUUGAUACGUGCGGACUUGAGCUCGGAAGAGGGUCGUGGAAUUCCCAGUGUAGAGGUGAAAUUCGUAGAUAUUGGGAAGAACACCGGUGGCGAAGGCGGCGACCUGGUCCGAUACUGACGCUGAGGCGCGAAAGCGUGGGGAGCAAACAGG